rnacentral:rRNA from 1 species
GGUCCCCUACGGGAGGCAGCAGUGGGGAAUAUUGGACAAUGGGGGAAACCCUGAUCCAGCGACGCCGCGUGAGUGAAGAAGUAUUUCGGUACGUAAAGCUCUAUCAGCAGGAAAGAAAAUGACGGUACCUGACUAAGAAGCCCCGGCUAACUAUGUGCCAGCAGCCGCGGUAAUACAUAGGGAGCGAGCGUUAUCCGGAUUUAUUGGGUGUAAAGGGUGCGUAGACGGGAAUACAAGUUGGUUGUGAAAGCCCUCGGCUUAACUGAGGAACUGCAACCAAAACUAUAUUUCUUGAGUAUCGGAGA